rnacentral:lncRNA from 1 species
AAAAAAAAUAAACACAAGGCCUGGGGCCAUUACAUUGCAAUGUAAUGCAUUACAUUACAAUUACUUUGUGAUUCUUCCAUUACAAUUACAAUUACAUUUUUUCUCACAUGUAAUGCAUUACAUUACAAUUACUUUGCCUGUGUAAUGCAUUACAUUACACAUUACUUUUUCAAUAUAAAAACAAAAAGCAUUUCAAAAACAGAGGUAUAUGUACAUAUGUAUACAGUGUUAGGGACAUAGACUUCAAAUACUGGUUAAUUAAUAUGUCCAUUGCACUUUAUCAUCAUAAGUGGUUUAAAUGUGAUGCCAUUAAGAGAACAGCGAUCAGUUCUGUACACCUUUCCGGCAAUACUUAAAAGCCUUUCUACAGGAGCUUAUGUGUGGGAAAUGGCUAAAUACUUGAUAGCUGUAUUAACCAAAGAAGAAAGGCACACUGAAUUUGACUUCCAUUAUUCCAGUGCAUUGAUUGAAAUUUCUUCACAUGGCUCAGACAAGUAGAUGUCAACAUCAUGUACUGCACCUUACCUGUGUCUAUACCCUUUGAUUGAGUAGUAGGAGGCAUGAAACUGAAAAAGUCACUUUUAAGUUUCUUAGGUGGUGGUAAAAAAUAAAUAAAUUAUCAUAUAAUUUUGUUUCUAACAUUGAUCACUUAAUCAUUAAGACAUCAUUAAGGAUUUCAAAGGGAUAUAAUAAAUGUGUCAUUAAAGGAUUAUCUUGUGAAAUGCCUAAGGGUUCUGUGAGGAC